AGAGUUUGAUCAUGGCUCAGAAUCAACGCUGGCGGCGUGCCUCAGACAUGCAAGUUGAACGCGAAAGUUCCCUUCGGGGGACAAGUAGAGUGGCGCACGGGUGAGUAACACGUAGGUAAUCUACCUUUGGGUGGGGAAUAACCCCGGGAAACCGGGGCUAAUACCGCAUAAUGCAGCGGCUCGACAUCGAGACAGUUGUUAAAGCGGGGGAUCCAAAAGACCUCGCGCCUGAAGAGGAGCCUGCGGCGGAUUAGCUAGUUGGUGAGGUAAUGGCUCACCAAGGCGACGAUCCGUAGCCGGCCUGAGAGGGCGGUCGGCCACACUGACACUGACAUACGGGUCAGACUCCUACGGGAGGCAGCAGUCGGGAAUUUUGGGCAAUGGGCGAAAGCCUGACCCAGCAACGCCGCGUGAAGGAUGAAAUCCCUCGGGAUGUAAACUUCGCAAGAACGGGAAGAAUAAGCCUGCGUGAAUAUCGCAGGUGAUGACGGUACCGUUUGUAAGCUCCGGCUAACUCCGUGCCAGCAGCCGCGGUAAUACGGGGGGAGCAAGCGUUGUUCGGAUUUACUGGGCGUAAAGGGCGCGUAGGCGGCCACCGCAAGUCAGUUGUGAAAUCUCCGGGCUUAACUCGGAAAGGUCAACUGAUACUGCGGGGCUAGAGUGCAGAAGGGGCAACUGGAAUUCUCGGUGCAGCGGUGAAAUGCGUAGAUAUCGAGAGGAACACCUGCGGCGAAGGCGGGUUGCUGGGCUGACACUGACGCUGAAGUGCGAAAGCUAGGGGAGCGAACGGGAUUAGAUACCCCUGUAGUCC
rnacentral:rRNA from 1 species